ensembl:lncRNA
GUGAUUGAUCAAAAUAGAGAAUAAUUUCUGAUUUACCAUACAUGUUGCAUUUUUCAUUUAAUAUGGAACCCUGCUCAAACUUUCUUCUCAAACUUGCUGCAGCUACUUCAAAUUAACCACAAUCAUAUCCUGUGCAUAUAAGAGAAGAACAAAAACAUCAUGGUUUUUCCAUUUAUCGCACCUGUACAAAACCGGACGUUUUCAUAGAUCUAAACAGACUGCAGAAUCUAAAAGCCAUUAUUAUAAAGUGAUAUUACACUUACCAAAAUGCCAAAGUUUUGGAGGAAAAUAAAAACAGCCAGGAAUAAAUAUGAGUGGUAUCCUCUGGUGAAAGACAUGCAAGCCUCCAAUGGAGAACAGGAAAGCACAGUCGACUCUGCGAUGCCAUCUGGAUCAGGUAUCGAAGUGAGUGGCGAGACAGGGCUUAAUAUUCUCAGAACAAUUCUGAGUAAACAAUCAAACCUUGAGGACGCAGACAUUGCAGCUGCAAUGCCGAAAAUCAGCUUCUCUCAAGAAUGGCACCAAAGUACUUUCAAGAAAUAGAUCAGUUUGUGGAGAACCACUUACCCUCGCUGCCACCAGAGGGAUCUCAAGUAAAGCAGAUGCAGGACUUUCUAAAGAGCGCACAGAGUAUUAUAUGCAAUGAGGUGCGCAGAUUAACACCUUUACUGAAAAAUGCUGGACUGCUAGUUCAUCUGAAGGACAGUUACAGCCGUCACCUCUUUACCAACCUGGACCUGCUACUAAACAGAGAUCUGUCUGUAAAACAGAUCUUCUGCCUUAUUAUGUGGGAAAAAGAUGUUUUCUUCAGUCCAGACUCAAAACUGAGUGUGUACGACCCUUCGCUGCUGACAGGAAGGUUUGAGAGAGCAAAGCAGAAACUGCUUCAAGUACUUCAGGUAGGACUUUAUGGUAUCCACCUUGUUUUUUAACAGCAUGGCCACUUAAAUGUGCGAGGCUUCCGCUGUCAUCCACUUCUAGUUAUUUUAGCUGUACAAAAUCAGUCUGUUCUGGUGCUUGAUAUUGCAAACUGCUAUUUGUUAUGGUGUAAUUUAAAUGUAUUAUCGUAAUAAUAAAUACACUGGUUUGUAGUGCAAAUAGUUUUACAAUUUCUGCACUUUACACUUAAAAAAAUGCUGGGUCAAAACAACCCAGUGCUGGGUGAAAUAUGGACAAGCCCAGCAAUUUGGUUGUUUUGACCCAGCAGUUUGGUUAAAUGUUUAACCCAACCUUCUGGGUAGUAACCCAACCGCUGGGUCAAAACAAUCCAGUUGCUGGGUUUGUCCAAUUUUACCCAGCACUGGGUUGCAUUUAACCCAGCAUUUUUUAGAGUAUAUACAAUAGCAAUUAAUGAAACGGAAGUCUUGUACAUUCACAGAAAAGAUUGCGUUGCAAAAAAAAGGUGGGUAUGACUUUCUGUUAUUUGAAUUCUUUGACUCUCAUUACUGACUAAUGCAUGAAAGGACCCAAAACAUGCACAUGAGGUGUAACACACUUGUAUCUCUGCCCAACUUAAACUGCCAAAGGAUGACAUCUCCAAGACUCUACAGAACAUCCUACACUAUGAUGAGAAACAUGGACAUAAUGAGGACUCAAUGGAUGAAGAAACUUUCAUCAGAGUUCACUUAGAUGUCACUCAGUGCCUGAACUAUGCUAUUUUUGAUGCUAAAAAAGUUGGUCUGACUUUGAUGCAUGCAGUACAAAUACUCUGUAGUGGAGAGCUGCAUGGUUUUGUUCAGAAGUAGGAUUCUCCUCAUAUUAUUAUCUAGUAUCCUUAUAUUCAUUUAAGUGUAUGGUUGCUGGAGAGGGAAGGUUUGUAAUCCUGUACUUAAUAUAAAUAUGUUUUCUUAGGUAUGUGGAUGCUAAGAACAAACGUCUAUAAAAAACAAACGUUUACAGAGACAAACUCUGUGUAUCUGUUUCGGAUAAUCAACACCUGCAUGCAACUCAGGUAUUUAUUAAUGAUGAUUAAGUAAUGAACUAAUACAUGGCUGUUACAGAAACUGUAUCAGUGUAUAAUUAAAUCUGGACUAAUUGAAGAAUAAGACAUAUUUGUCACCCUUGAUUUAUUCAAGUGGCAGUAUAAUUGUGGAGAUAUUAAGAUGACUAAUAUUUGGCUGUCAUAUUUGACUAAAACAGUGGUUGCCUUUUUUCCAGGGCACCCUUAUUUUAACAGUCAACCUUUUUGAAUCAAUGAAUCAGUGACAUUAACAAUGAUGGCAGAAGAUUUUUAAAUGAAAAAAUAACGUUGGUUGAGUGAGUUUAACGAAAUUUCAACCAAGGGGGGCCUUUAAUUGGUCCGUGCCCAGGGCACCGCUGUGUCAUAAUCCGUCCCUGACUUACCGUCUGGAAUUUCAUCAUGGUUUGCUGCAACUGUUUCUAUUUAUAACCCUCAAACUGGAACGAGCUCAGCGACUCCUAGUGGUGUCACGACCCGGGGUUGGGAACCACUGGGGAAAAUCCUUGUGUAGAAUAAAACAGCUUUUCUAGGUCACUGUUAUAACUAGAGUCACUAUACGGUGAGUGUAUUAUUUUAAAAAUAUUUGUGCUAAGUUGUCCUUUUCCUAUCUGGAAUGAAAAUAUUUUACCUGUAGAUGUUGUGCUACACAAAUCAGUCCAAAUACAAACAGCAGAGAUGUCUCCUCAAGCACUAUAUGCAUGCUACAGAAACUGGAAGACAAUGCUUCAUCCAUUGUACGAAAGCUCAUGAAAUGCUUAGCACAGGUAGGCUAUGUUUUGAUUUCUUCAACAUCUGUGUUUAUGAUAAUCACUGAAAAAAAUGAUUCAUUGAAUUUACUAAAUUUUUUUAUGGUAAGUGGUUGCAGUCAAUUUAUUUUAUCUAUAUUUAAAUAAAUUUAGCUGAUUAACUUUCAGCAAAAAAAAAAUUAUUUAAAUGUAGCUAAAAUAAAUUGAUUGCAACCACUUACCAUAAAUUUUUUUUGUAAAUUCAAUUAAUCAUUUUUUUCAGUGAUGUGUUCAGAGGACAAGACCACAGUUGUGCAAGUGAAAUUAAGUAUUUGAGUCCACAGAAUUGUGAAAUCAAUACAAUCUUACUAGGAUUAUUUUAGCUGCAUCCAUUCAUAUCAGACUGUCUCUCUGGGCUACUGAUCUAAACAACAAGAAUACUGUAACCUUUCCUAACACAUUUAAUAUCAAACUUACAGUCCUGUUUCUCUUUGAAUGUUCAUUUGUAGGCCAAUUUAGAAGGUUAUUUUGAGAAAAGAGAUGGGCAUAUUGAUAUCCUGAUGGAGGCAAUCCAAAGGCAGUGUGCAUCUCUGCCUGAGACUGCUUCAGAGAUCAAAACGGUCAUUGUGAAAAUAGCUUACGACAGUGUUUCCAAAGUGUACCUGGAAUGCUUGAUGAAGACAAAUGUCAGAAAGCUAGAGAUGCUUUGGGGAAAUGCUGAGGAAAAGAUAAAAGAGGAUGUUCAACAUUUUCACCAAAUAUUCUCUGACCUGAAUGGCAUUGCUGCCCAGGAGAGCUCCUUCAGAGAAUGAGUGUUUUGCUUUACAGUCAUGUAAAAACGAAGGACGUUACCAAUGCUUUGUUCAAAGACUUCCCUCAGGAGAGUGAGCAGUAUGUACCUGGUCUGCUGCGCUGGAAGGGUGUGUUAUCAGAGCAACAGGUGAAGGAAGUGCUGGAUGAGAUUCGGGAACCCUGCCAAAAUCCAGAUCCUACACAUGUCACCUGUUUUCUUCUGAAGGGACUUUUUUGUUGUAAAUAGCUUGAGGUCAGAGCUUUCAAAAAGCCUUUAUGAUCCAAAGCCAUGGAUUCAGUGAGGUAUGAGGAAAGUACCAAGCAACCAACAUAAGCUGCAACCCCAUUGGCUGGAAUGUUCAUUUAUGAGGGAAACUCCCAUAAAUGCACCUGCUGUGAGCACUGCAAUCUCACCAUUUACUCUCAUGUAUUCUGCGGGACAAGCAAGCUUUUUAUUUGUGUGAAGUUCAAACAAACAAAAAUGCUAAGCGUGUUGAGGCGGAAAAAAAAGAAUGGGAAUGAAGAGACCCCUUUAAUGAAAAACAUAGAGCAGACAGAUGGGGAACAGACAUCUGAAUACAGUUCACAGCAGUCCGGAGUUCCUGAUCUCAUCGCUCUAGAUGUUGAAGCGAGUAACAAGAGAGUGCUUAAUAUUCUCAGAAUGAUUCUGAGUGACCAAUCAACCCCUGAGGACUUUGACACUGCAGCUGAGGUGCUGAAAACAUGGAGCAAACUGAACAACAGCUUCUCUCAAGACUGGCUUUGUGAGUACCUUCAGGAAAUAGAUCAGUUUGUUGAGAAAAACUUUCCCUCGCUGCCAGCAGAGGGACCACAAGGAUCUCAGUUAGAGCAGAUGCAAGAAUUUCUAAACAGUGCACAGAGUGUUAUAUAUGAUGAGGUGUGUCGAUUAACACCUUUACUGAAAGAUGCUGGACUGCUAGUUCAUCUGAUGGACAGUUACAGCCAUCACCUCUUUACCAACCUGGACCUGCUCCUAAACAGAGAUCUUUCAGCGAAUGAAAUUUUCUGCCUUCUAAUGUGGGGAAAAAAUGUUUUCUUCAGUCCAGACUCACAGCAUUUCUUCAGAGUGUACGACCCUCUGCUGUUGACAGGUUGGUUUGAGAGAGCAACAAGGAAGCUGCUGCCAAAACUGGAGGAUGACAUCUCCACGACUCUACAGAACAUCCGACACUAUGAUGAGGAACAUGGACAUAAUGAGGACUCAAUGGAUGAAGAAACUUUCAUCAGAGUUCACUUAGAUGUCACCCAGAAUUUAGUAACACCCUGAUGUGUACAGCACAGACGCUCUGCCUUAAAGAGCUUCAUCAUUUUGUUCAGGAGUAUGCACAUGCACAGAAAAAAUGUCUGGGAAAACAGAAACCCCUGAACUCAAAAUAUGUGCAUCUGUUUCGGCUCAUCAGCACCAGUAGGCAACUCAGAUUUUUUGCUGAUCGACUCAACAAUCCGGAUAUUAACAACAGUAACGACCUCUCAAACAUCAUCUGCAUGUUAGAGGAGCUGGAAGAUCACGUUCUGUCAAUUGUACAGAAGAUGAUGAAACACUUAGCGCAGGGCUAUUUGAGAAAAUAUUUCAAAAAAGAAGGUGAGCAAAUUCAAAUGCUGACAGAGGGCAUUCAAAAGCGGUGUGCAUCUCUGCCUCAGGCUCAUGUGGGAAAAGAGAUUCAGGAGAUCUUUGUAAAUGUAGCCUAUGACUGCAUUUCACACGUAUAUCUGGAUUGCCUGAUGAAGAGCAAGUUCAAGCGGCUAGAGAAGAGAUGGGGAAAUGUCGGAGAAAGGAUGAGAGAGGAUGCUCUCAGUUUUCACAACACAUUUACUGAACUGAAUGGCAGUGAUGACCAGAGGUACCAUCUCCUUCAGAGAAUGAGUGAAGUUUUGCUCUGCAGUGAUGUAGAUGCACUGAAGAUUACCUGUUGUGAUUUGUUCAGGGAUUUCCCUCAAGACAGUGAGCAGUAUGUACCUGGUCUGCUGCGCUGGAAAGGUGUGUUAUCAGAGCGACAGGUGAAGGAAGUGCUGACUGUGAGCCGGGAUCUCGUUCUGGAUCUAAAGCCUAGACGUGUCACAUGUCAGCGUCUGAAGGGGCUUUGCUGUUGUCUUUGAUAUGAAUAGCAACAUCAGCCAGAUUUGUGAAACCUCUGUUUACAAGUUUAAAUUGAUGACAUGACUUUUGUGAACAUUAGUGAACAUUAGUUGUUUAUACAGGUACAUUUAUAUUUUAAUCAGAUACAAUAUUUUUGUACCUUUUAACCUUUUGAUUUUACUUGAAAAUAGGAAAUCAUGUUUCUAUCUGACCACCGGGAAAAAAAUGAAAUUACCCUUUUUGGUAUGUCUUUUCUAUGAUAGUAUAAUUAAUUAAGUUUAAAAAAUUAAGUAAAAUUUAA